CGGGUGCGUGACGUCAUUUGCGUGGCAUUCAAUAGACACCGCUGAAGUCCGUGUUUUACAAAUUGCUGUCGCUGCCAUUGAAAAGAAAAAGCUAUCGGCACGGAGGAAACAGAACAUUGAAACAGUCUUUACAUUCGUAUUUAAUUUAAUUUCGCAUUUAAAAAGCACUUUCAACACGACAUCAUUUGACCGACCUGAAAAGCGAUCGCACAGUCAACCGUACCUUCAAAAUUGAAACUGGCUUUCGAUGCGCAUUUUGAAGAUUAAAAAAAAAACACUUUUAUACACGAGAUUUGCCCUAAACCAAAUACACAGAAAUCGCCCGGCCAAUUCCAAUCAUGUGACGCAUCGAAUUCCGGGAUGCCUCACGGCAGUCGUGUGGCAUUCGAGGCUCGACUCUAAAGUACGCCUUUUCAUUUUUCCGUUGUUUUGUGAGCGCGUGUUGUUUGUUUCUACACUGUGGGCGGUGUCGCGUGGGAAGAAAACUGGUUGCCAGACAAGAAAAACACACCCCGACGUGUGGCUGUGUGCUUGUGUGCCGAUGACGCGUCAAACGUCCGCCGAGCUCAAUCGCACAGAAGGAGCCGCACAAAUCCGACAAGACCAACAAUCCGCAAACCACGAAAUGACAAAGUGAACCUUGCCAAGACGAAGUUGGACUUUUUUUUUUUUUUACUUUUAUUUUUGCGCCCAAACGAAGAGGAUUAUGACUAUUAAAGUGGACUUUGAGGAGUGUUUGAAAGACUCCCCACGCUUCAGAGCUGAAAUUGAGGCGGUCCAAGCCGACGUGGGCGAACUUGAGACGCGAUUAGACAAGCUGGUGAAACAAUGCCAGGCCAUGCUGGAGGCCGGCCGAGCGUACUACCAGAGCAGCAAGAGCUUCGUGAGCGGGCUCCAGAGUCUGGGACAGCACUGCUCCGGCGACGCCACCGUGGGGGACUGCUUGCAGACAUUCUCCCAGAAGCUUUCGCUCAUCUUGGACGCGCAGGAGGAGGCCAUCGAAAUGACGCACAAGUCGGUCAAGACCAAGCUGCAGACUUUCGUGAAGGAAGACGUGCGGCGCUUCAAGGAUGCGCGCAAGGAGUUUGAGCGCAGCAGUGAAUCCCUGGAGGGGGCGCUGGCGAGGAACGCUCAGGCGCCUCGCGGGAAGCCUCACGAGGCGGAGGAGGCCGGCGGCGCGCUGCUCAACGCCCGCCGAGCCUUCAGAUCCGGCGCCCUAGACUACGUCCUGGAGAUCAACAUCAUCGAGGCCAAGAAGAAGACGGAACUGCUGACGGCCAUGUUGUCGCUCAUGGACGCCCAGGCCCAGUUGUUCCAGAGCGGCUUCCGGUCCUUGUCGGAACUGGAGCCGUAUCGGCGAGAGCUGAGCGAAGAGCAAAAGCAGUUUGUCCUGAAUUCGGCCCGCGAGAAGCGAGACAUGGAGCAGAGACACGCCGCCAUCAAACAAAAGGGCGUUUCCUACGACGACUCCAUGAUGGACUUCAAUCCGGACGCCGCAAACGGGAUUCCCAUGGAGGGGUACCUCUACAAACGGGCCAGCAACGCCUUCAAGACCUGGAGCAGGCGCUGGUUCUCCAUUCAGAAUAAUCAGCUGGUGUAUCAGAAGAAAUUGAAGGAGCAGCCCACGGUGGUGGUGGAGGACCUGCGCCUGUGCACGGUCAAGCCCAACGGCGAGAACGACAGGCGCUUCUGUUUCGAAGUGGUCUCCCCGUCCAAAAGCUGUCUGUUGCAGGCCGACUCGGAGAGGCAGCAGCGGGCGUGGAUCGGCGCCGUGCAGAACAGCAUCGCCUCGGCCUUCCACGAGCCCCAACGCAGUCCGAGGCAGCGCCGCGGCUCGGUUUCGACGGGCGGCCCCGUCGACCGUCGGGAGGGCUCGGGCUCGGGAUCGGGCUCGGGCUCGGAGGCCCUGGAGCGGGUGCGGGCCGUCGCCGGGAACCGGCAGUGCUGCGACUGCGGGGCGCCGGCUCCCGACUGGGCUUCCAUCAACCUGGGCAUCACGCUGUGCAUCGUGUGCUCGGGAAUACACAGGAGCCUGGGGGUCCACUUCUCCAAAGUGCGCUCCCUUACCCUGGAUUCCUGGGAGCCGGAACUCAUCAAGUUGAUGUGCGAAUUGGGCAACGGCGUCAUCAACGGCAUCUACGAGGCCCGCAUCGACGAGAUCACCUUCAAGAAGCCCCUCGCCUCCAGUCCGAGGGGCGACAAGGAGGCCUGGAUUCGUUCCAAGUAUGUGGAGAAGAAGUUCAUCCAAAAGCUGCCGGAGACGGGUCACAACAACACCUUGCCCGAGCGUCCGGGCGCCAGGAGGAACAGGGCGGCCACGCAAGACCGCACGGCGCGGCGCCCGCCGCUCAAGCCCAAACCCGGCCGAAGCACUCUGCCUCGAUCGGCGUCAAGCUCGAUGGAGGUUCAGAAGAACAACACGGCCUCCCGCACAGAUGGAAAUGACGAAGAGGAAGAGGAUCUGAGCGGGCUUCACCCCGGGGCGCUGCUGUAUCGCUCCGCGGCCCUGCAGAACUUCCCCGUCAUGGCCGACGCCUUGGCCCACGGCGCCAACGUCAACUGGGUCAACGCGGCCGAGGAGGCCUGCACGCCGCUGAUCCAGGCCGUCUCGAUGAAUGCGCUGGCCGCCUGCGAAUUCCUGUUGCAGAACGGCGCCGACGUCAACCAGGCGGACAGAAAUGGGAGAGCGCCACUUCAUCACGCCACCAUACUGGGUCACACAGGGCUGGUGUGUCUCUUCCUGAAACGAGGCGCCGACUACAAUGCCAGAGACAAAAAUCAGAAGGACCCCAUAACGAUCGCCGUGGACAACGCCAACGCCGACAUCGUCACUUUACUGCGGAUCGCCAAGAUGAACAGGGAGAUGCAAGAGAUGGACGGAUCCCUCGGCAAAUCAGGUCUCUCCAAGGGGCAGACGGCCGGGAGCGCUGGGACAGGGACCGGGCAGGUCCAAACUAGGAAGAGCCUCCAGGCUUUAAAGCACCAAAUAAGUGGCUGGGCUCUGGGGGGACCAAAUGAAUAGUUCACCUCAGUGUGAAAGGGAUGCCCCCCCCCCCCCACACACGCACUCACUUUUUUUGGGGGGGGGGGGUCUCCAAAUUGAAAACACUGGUUUUACAGUGUCACUUUUUUUUUGGGGGGGGGGGUCUACCAUGCAGAAUUAUACUGCUGGGAAUCUCAUUUGAGACGCACCAAAGUCCAAUUUUGGGUUCUGAAUCAAUGAGGAACACUUAGCCACCACUUAGCACAUCUGGCACUUUGAAACCCCCUCCCCCCCCCCAAAUGUCAAAACACUGUGAAAAUGGAGUCGAUGUUGAACUGAGAGCACACACAUGGAGGCCAACGCAUGCUCACGUCCUGUUUGCAUCAACUCGGGGCCUUCGUGUCCACGCAUUGUGUUUUUGCUAUUCGGGCUUGCUUCUUGUACAUUGCUUUCAUUGUUUACUUGUGUGUUUCUCUGUGCUUAUAUUUAAAAAAAAAACAACAACAACAAAGACCCUGCUGGUCAGCAUUUUGACUUUGUCUUUGUGUGUCUUUACACUCCUGAGAAAUGGAGCUGGUCUCGCCAGCUUGUGCAGUGUGCCACCUGCCGCAAACUCCCAGGUGACGAAACCUGCCAGCACAUCUUCAGAGACUUCUCGCACAUGGCAUCCAACAACCCGGAGAAGCUCAAGCGUCGCAGCGCAGAUGCCAAAUUCUGAAAAAAAAAGAAAAGAAAAAUGCCGCUUUUUAAAAAUGCUUCCUUUUGCCCUGACCUGUUUUGUUAGGAAUCACUCUAUUGAAAAUGUUGAAAGGUUUUCAAAUGAUAUUUCAGUUUUGUCAAGGCAUGUCAAAGUUUUCUGUUAUUUUAAAUGCGAGUCCCUGCGAAGCGGAACGAAAAGUACUUCCGGUAGUUUACGGAGCGACGUCACCCGUAUUACUUCGUCACCACUUUAUAUUAUUAUUAUGAUUAUACAUCCAUCCAUCCAUUUUCUAAUGUCCUUGUCUUCACAGCUGCGGAAAAAUAAGAACGUCUGCCUUUGCAAUAGCGCUGUAAACGGACCACAGUAGCCACGGCUGAUUUGUUAGUAUGAUUUAUUCAUAUUCAAGUGUCACUGAAACACUGAAUUCAUCAUUUUCAAGUUUUGUUUGUUAACAAUCUGUUUUUAAAAAAAAAUAAUUAAAAAGAGUUGAUCGAUACUCUUCAUCAGAAACAUCGCUAUUUCCGCCUCGCUUCCGAAUCCUCUCGGCAUCCUACGGUCCCUUUGCUCUGCUUCUGUUUGCUUGUCUUAUGCUCAGGUGUCAGCGAGCAAGGGAGCGACAAUUUGGUUUUUCAAUUUUCCCAAAAGGACAUAUUUCAAAAUAAUACCAGUAAAGUUCAUGAAACCCAACUAAACGAGUCGGUGCCAGAGUGCAGGGUUGCACGAGUGCCGAGGCAGAACAAUCCAAGUAAUCAAGUACCCACCAGUCCGAUGUUUUAUUAUGGUCUGCAAAAGUACAAAUGUAGUUAUUGUCCCGGAACGAAACGACACUUGUAUAACGAUAGUCUUGUAUUCCUGAGUGUACGGGACAUGCGAAAAGCAGAUUUUUUAUUUUGCAUUCUCAUUACUUUUGGUCUCCAUUAAAGUGUCCAUUUUCACAGCG